rnacentral:rRNA from 1 species
AUUGAACGCUGGCGGCAGGCCUAACACAUGCAAUUCGAACGAGUGGCGGACGGGUGAGUAAUGUCUGGGAAACUGCCCGAUGGAGGGGGAUAACUACUGGAAACGGUAGCUAAUACCGCAUACCAUCGGAUGUGCCCAGAUGGGAUUAGCUAGUUGGGGGGGUAACGGCUCACCUAGGCGACGAUCCCUAGCUGGUCUGAGAGGAUGACCAGCUAGAAUGGAACUGAGAGACGGGCCAGACGCCUACGGGAGGCAGCAGUGGGGAAUAUGGGACAAUGGGCGCAAGCCUGAUGGAGCCAGGCCACGUGUAUGAAGAAGGCCUUCGGGUUGUAAAGUACUUUCAGCGAGGGGGCGUUACUCGCAGAAGAAGCACCGGCUAACUCCGUGCCAGCCGCCGCGGUAAUUC